CGCAAGCCUGACGGAGCAAUACCGCGUGAGGGAGGAAGGCCUUUGGGUUGUAAACCUCUUUUCUCAAGGAAGAAGUUCUGACGGUACUUGAGGAAUCAGCAUCGGCUAACUCCGUGCCAGCAGCCGCGGUAAUACGGAGGAUGCAAGCGUUAUCCGGAAUCAUUGGGCGUAAAGCGUCCGCAGGUGGCCUCACAAGUCUGCUGUCAAAGACAGAAGCUCAACUUCUGAAAGGCAGUGGAAACUGGAGAGCUAGAGUACGGUAGGGGUUGAGGGAAUUCCCAGUGUAGCGGUGAAAUGCGUAGAUAUUGGGAAGAACACCAGUGGCGAAGGCGCUCAACUGGGCCGUAACUGACACUCAGGGACGAAAGCUAGGGGAGCG
rnacentral:rRNA from 1 species